GCAAUUGCAUGUGGACAAAGCUGAAAAUCACCUUAAAACGAACAGGAAAAUUAUGUCAAAACAAGCAUAUUCUCUUAUGUAUCGGACAUGACCAUGCUUAGAGAAUUAGUGUUAGGUUUAGGAAUUCCGAAAUCAAUUUCCCGUUCUACCAAGAGAAGAAUCGAGAAGACGGGUGCGAGCGCCUGUUCUUAGAAUAAGACCAUGGCAUGAACUCGAUAAGUGUUGCGUUCAUAUUAUUAAAAAAAAAAAAAUAGUCAAAGUAAACCCAACUGAGUGUACGGUAGCAAAGGUAAUUCGCGCGAUUAUUUUAUAUGGCGUUAUAUAAGCAUGUUGCCUUAUGUGUAGCAUACAUUUGGUGUUCAUAUCCAAACGACGACUUGCCUUAAAAGAUUAGCCAUCGGUUCACACUACCUAAUCUCUAAUUAAUCUACUUGAUUAGGAAUCUAUUAAUGCACGAUCUAUAUGCCAUGUACGCAACUCCAUGGUCUAUACAUUAAUGGUUGAUGGGUUGACUUUUGAUUUGAAGAUAAGAGCUGCGUACCAAGAAUUUUUCUAUACUCCCAACGCAAUUUAUAAUUAAAAUUGGUACAAACGGUCAAACGCCGGCAAACAUAAGAGAGCUGGCGGCGGUGGCCCGUCAUCACUUGGUGUAAUUUGCAGUACGUAAUACGGGAAAGCUCAUGUCAGUGUAUUCGAAAAGUUUGGAAAUUGCAAUUUUUUUUAUUAAAGAUCUUGCUCCACCUUUGGUGAAUAAAAUCGAAGCAUACCCAAUUGUCUUUACAUUCGGUAGCAAUUCAAGAAGGUGUUUUUGGUAAGUAUGGUUCACAAAGCAAACCUUGCACUUCAAUCAACUUCUCUUUGUUUAAUCUUUUAUUAGACUCUAGCCGUGUACAGAAGAUAUGACUUUCGGAGGCCUCGUAGGAGCGGUGAGAAUGACUGCUUAAUGGAAUCAGAUUCCCAAGAAAAAGAACAAACUUUUAUAAACCCUUUUUCUUAAACGAAAAUGAAGGGUAACUACUCACGCCAUAAUACUAUCAAAUUUAUUUAAUCAACUUCUUUUUUCCCAUUUGCGACCAGUUAAGCAAAUAAAGAUCAAGAAAUUUACCCAAAGAGGGACCCAAUAAAAACGAACAAAAGAAAGAACUUUGCCCUGCAUUGGCAUCGAGGAGAACCGAUGAAUCAUUAACGAGGUGCAAGCAAGAUUUUUAUUUGCAUGCGAGCUUUUAGAUCUUUCUGGUAUUCUUUUAAGGCAAAAUCCAGAAUCGAUGGGAAUUUGCAAGAUUUUGCCGAUGGUCUCUGCAUUUUCUCAGCAGCCAAACAGACCACUGGCGAAAGGAAGCAAGAAGAAUCAGACCAGGAAAACAGGGCAAAUCCUUCAAGCGGGUAUAAAACAUCACAACCCCCACCAAAGACUCGAGGCACAGAGACAGACACAGACACAGACACAGACACAGAGAGAGAGAGGGAGGGAGGGAGGGAGGGAGGGAGAGUCGUGGACAAACCCGAAAUCAGUGAUGGAGGGAAGGAAGAGACUUGGAUUCUUGAGAGAUUCUUUCUCGCGCUUUGUUUUUAUAUCCUGGAUUUCUCAGGCGCUCUGCGUUUGGUUUUGGAACUUCUCCAAGAACCGAGAGCAGCUUUCUUGUUUCUUGGGUCUCUCUCCCUCCCUCCCUCCCUCCCUCUCUCUCUCUCGCUGUCUCCCCCCACGAAUAUCUGCUAAGCUCGCG
rnacentral:lncRNA from 1 species